rnacentral:rRNA from 1 species
UACGUAGGGGGCAAGCGUUGUCCGGAUUUAUUGGGCGUAAAGAGCGUGUAGGCGGCCAUGUAGGUCCGUUGUGAAAACUCGAGGCUCAACCUCGAGACGCCGAUGGAAACCAUGUGGCUAGAGUCCGGAAGAGGAGAGUGGAAUUCCUGGUGUAGCGGUGAAAUGCGCAGAUAUCAGGAAGAACACCCGUGGCUAAGGCGGCUCGCUAGUACGGUACUGACGCUGAGACGCGAAAGCGUGGGGAGCGAACAGG